AGUGAACGCUGGCGGUAGGCCUAACACAUGCAAGUCGAACGGCAGCACAGUAAGAGCUUGCUCUUACGGGUGGCGAGUGGCGGACGGGUGAGGAAUACAUCGGAAUCUACUUUUUCGUGGGGGAUAACGUAGGGAAACUUACGCUAAUACCGCAUACGACCUACGGGUGAAAGCAGGGGAUCUUCGGACCUUGCGCGAUUGAAUGAGCCGAUGUCGGAUUAGCUAGUUGGCGGGGUAAAGGCCCACCAAGGCGACGAUCCGUAGCUGGUCUGAGAGGAUGAUCAGCGACACUGGAACUGAGACACGGUCCAGACUCCUACGGGAGGCAGCAGUGGGGAAUAUUGGACAAUGGGCGCAAGCCUGAUCCAGCCAUACCGCGUGGGUGAAGAAGGCCUUCGGGUUGUAGAGCCCUUUUGUUGGGAAAGAAAAGCGGCAGGUUAAUACCCCGCUGUUCUGACGGUACCCAAAUAAUAAGCACCGGCUAACUUCGUG
rnacentral:rRNA from 1 species